AUUGAACGCUGGCGGCAGGCCUAACACAUGCAAGUCGAACGAGUGGCGGACGGGUGAGUAAUGGCUGGGAAACUGCCCGAUGGAGGGGGAUAACUACUGGAAACGGUAGCUAAUACCGCAUACCAUCGGAUGUGCCCAGAUGGGAUUAGCUAGUGGGGGGGGUAAAGGCUCACAUAGGCGACGAUCCCUAGCUGGUCUGAGAGGAUGACCAGCAACACUGGAACUGAGACACGGUCCAGACUCCUACGGGAGGCAGCAGUGGGGAAUAUUGCACAAUGGUCUAAAGCCUGAUGCAGCCAUGCCGCGUGUAUGAAGAAGGCUUUCGGGUUGUAAAGUACUUUCAGCGGGGAGGCGUUACCCGCAGAAGAAGCACCGGCUAACUCCGUGCCAGCAGCCGCGGUAAUUC
rnacentral:rRNA from 1 species